rnacentral:tRNA from 1 species
GCCCGGGUAGCUCAGCUGGUAGAGCAUUUCCAUGGUAAGGAAAAGGUCACCGGUUCAAGUCCGGUCUCGGGCUCAA